rnacentral:rRNA from 1 species
CAGCCGCCGCGGUAAUACGUAGGGUGCGAGCGUUAAUCGGAAUUACUGGGCGUAAAGCGUGCGCAGGCGGUUCGUUAAGACAGAUGUGAAAUCCCCGGGCUUAACCUGGGAACUGCAUUUGUGACUGGCGAGCUAGAGUAUGGCAGAGGGGGGUAGAAUUCCACGUGUAGCAGUGAAAUGCGUAGAGAUGUGGAGGAAUACCGAUGGCGAAGGCAGCCCCCUGGGCCAAUACUGACGCUCAUGCACGAAAGCGUGGGGAGCAAACAGGAUUAGAUACCCCGGUAGUCCCUGUCUCUUAUAA